AGCUGGGCCCUGUGCAACGGCAACCUGCGAACCCCGUCAGGCCCGGAAGGGAGCAGCGGUAAGCAGGACCUGUCGUGUGUUACAGGUAGCCUGGCUGCC
rnacentral:SRP_RNA from 1 species